GAUUCAGCGGCGGACGGGUGAGUAAUGCCUAGGAAUCUGCCUGGUAGUGGGGGAUAACGUCCGGAAACGGGCGCUAAUACCGCAUACGUCCUGAGGGAGCAAAGUGGGGGCAUCUUCGGACCUCACGCUAUCAGAUGAGCCUAGGUCGGAUUAGCUAGUUGGUGGGGUCAAAGGCCUACCAAGGCGACGAUCCGUAACUGGUCUGAGAGGAUGAUCAGUCACACUGGAACUGAGACACGGUCCAGACUCCUACGGGAGGCACGCAGUGGGGAAUAUUGGACAAUGGGCGAAAGCCUGAUCCAGCCAUGCCGCGUGUGUGAAGAAGGUCUUCGGAUUGUAAAGCACUUUAAGUUGGGAGGAAGGGCAGUAAGUUAAUACCUUGCUGUUUUGACGUUACCAACAGAAUAAGCACCGGCUAACUUCGUGCCAGCAGCCGCGGUAAUACGAAGGGUGCAAGCGUUAAUCGGAAUUACUGGGCGUAAAGCGCGCGUAGGUGGUUCAGCAAGUUGGAUGUGAAAUCCCCGGGCUCAACCUGGGAACUGCAUCCAAAACUACUGAGCUAGAGUACGGUAGAGGGUGGUGGAAUUUCCUGUGUAGCGGUGAAAUGCGUAGAUAUAGGAAGGAACACCAGUGGCGAAGGCGACCACCUGGACUGAUACUGACACUGAGGUGCGAAAGCGUGGGGAGCAAACAGGAUUAGAUACCCUGGUAGUCCACGCCGUAAACGAUGUCGACUAGCCGUUGGGAUCCUUGAGAUCUUAGUGGCGCAGCUAACGCGAUAAGUCGACCGCCUGGGGAGUACGGCCG
rnacentral:rRNA from 1 species